ACAACAACAUUCGGACCGUCGGUCUACCGAGCAAUGUCACCCGCUCGGUGGAAGAUCUUCCCUCCGUCGUUAAAC
rnacentral:pre_miRNA from 1 species